UACGAAGGGGGCUAGCGUUGUUCGGAAUUACUGGGCGUAAAGCGCACGUAGGCGGCUCUUUAAGUCGGGGGUGAAAUCCUGGAGCUCAACUCCAGAACUGCCUUCGAUACUGUAGAGCUUGAGUUCGGGAGAGGUGAGUGGAACUGCGAGUGUAGAGGUGAAAUUCGUAGAUAUUCGGAAGAACACCAGUGGCGAAGGCGACUCACUGGACAUGUAUUGACGCUGAGGUACGAAAGCGUGGGGAGCAAACAGG
rnacentral:rRNA from 1 species